AACUACUGAUCAAUCCCCUCCCCGGCUGAUUUGCGCAUCAGGUAGUCGCCGCUCUACUCUCAACGGUGGCGAGCUGCAGUAGCCAAGUGCCCUGCCCCCGUUGCCAUAACAGCAGUACACAACCCCUCCUUCCCCUCGCCCGCUUGCUAAACAGUCCUUCCCUCUCGGGACUAAGGGCCUCUCCAGAACUGCUUCUGAUUGAGCAGAAACAGGGAGGAGGACUGAGCUUAUCUGACUCCAGAGCUUUCAGGAGGGAAGAAAGAUGUCAGAUGAAGAUGAUCUAGAAGACUCUGAGCCAGACCAGGAUGAUUCUGAGAAAGAAGAGGACGAGAAGGAGACAGAGGAGGGGGAGGACUACAGAAAAGAGGGGGAAGAGUUCCCUGAGGAAGGACCUGACAGACAUCUACUUGCUGCGCUCCUACAUCCAUCUGCGCUAUGUGGAUAUUUCUGAGAACCACCUGACAGACCUGUCUCCACUCAACUACCUCACCCACCUGCUCUGGCUCAAGGCUGAUGGCAAUCGGCUGCGAAGUGCCCAGAUGAAUGAACUUCCCUACCUGCAGAUUGCUAGUUUUGCUUAUAACCAGAUUACUGACAC
rnacentral:sRNA from 1 species